CCGGUAAACGGCGGCCGUAACUAUAACGGUCCUAAGGUAGCGAAAUUCCUUGUCGGGUAAGUUCCGACCUGCACGAAUGGCGUAAUGAUGGCCAGGCUGUCUCCACCCGAGACUCAGUGAAAUUGAACUCGCUGUGAAGAUGCAGUGUACCCGCGGCAAGACGGAAAGACCCCGUGAACCUUUACUAUAGCUUGACACUGAACAUUGAGCCUUGAUGUGUAGGAUAGGUGGGAGGCUUAGAAGUGUGGACGCCAGUCUGCAUGGAGCCGACCUUGAAAUACCACCCUUUAAUGUUUGAUGUUCUAACGUUGACCCGUAAUCCGGGUUGCGGACAGUGUCUGGUGGGUAGUUUGACUGGGGCGGUCUCCUCCUAAAGAGUAACGGAGGAGCACGAAGGUUGGCUAAUCCUGGUCGGACAUCAGGAGGUUAGUGCAAUGGCAUAAGCCAGCUUGACUGCGAGCGUGACGGCGCGAGCAGGUGCGAAAGCAGGUCAUAGUGAUCCGGUGGUUCUGAAUGGAAGGGCCAUCGCUCAACGGAUAAAAGGUACUCCGGGGAUAACAGGCUGAUACCGCCCAAGAGUUCAUAUCGACGGCGGUGUUUGGCACCUCGAUGUCGGCUCAUCACAUCCUGGGGCUGAAGUAGGUCCCAAGGGUAUGGCUGUUCGCCAUUUAAAGUGGUACGCGAGCUGGGUUUAGAACGUCGUGAGACAGUUCGGUCCCUAUCUGCCGUGGGCGCUGGAGAACUGAGGGGGGCUGCUCCUAGUACGAGAGGACCGGAGUGGACGCAUCACUGGUGUUCGGGUUGUCAUGCCAAUGGCACUGCCCGGUAGCUAAAUGCGGAAGAGAUAAGUGCUGAAAGCAUCUAAGCACGAAACUUGCCCCGAGAUGAGUUCUCCCUGACUCCUUGAGAGUCCUGAAGGAACGUUGAAGACGACGACGUUGAUAGGCCGGGUGUGUAAGCGCAGCGAUGCGUUGAGCU
rnacentral:rRNA from 1 species